AGUGAAUAGAUACCCGGGUAGUCCACGCCGUAAACGAUGCGCACUAGGUAUCAGAAGUAUCGACCCUUCUUGUACCGAAAGCUAAACGCGUUAAGUGUGCCGCCUGGGGAGUACGGCCGCAAGGCUAAAACUCAAAGGAAUUGACGGGGACUCGCACAAGCGGUGGAGCAUGUGGUUUAAUUCGAUGACACACGAAGAACCUUACCAGGGUUUGACAUCUAGAGAACUCGGCAGAAACGUCGAGGUGCCCGUAAGGGAGCUCUAAGACAGGUGUUGCACGGUUGUCGUCAGCUCGUGUCGUGAGAUGUGGCCUUAAGUGGUCAAACGAGCGAAACCUAUAUCCUGUGUUGAUUUUCACGGGAGACUGCCUCGGUUUACGGGGAGGAAGGCGUAGACGACGUCAAAUCAGCGUGGCUCUUACACCCUGGGCUACACACAUGCUACAAUGGCAGAUACAAAGAGUUGCAAAACCGUAAGGUUAAGCUAAUCUCGUAAAAACCUGCCUCAGUUCGGAUUGAGGGCUGCAAUUCGCCCUCAUGAAGCU
rnacentral:rRNA from 1 species